rnacentral:lncRNA from 1 species
CUUGAUCACUUCGAGGGGAUCGGCCUCCUAGGGUUGUCCAAAGACAGAAUAGUAUUUUUCAUAGAUUACUGAAAAGAAGCAGUUACAUCCCUAUUUAUAGAGUUCCACCCAAAGUCCAUCAGGACUUGAACUCUAAUAAUAAAUAAAUAUUAAAUAAACCUCUACUUGACUCUAACUGAACCAAAUCGACUCAAUAAACAACUGGACUAAACAGACUAAAUAAAC